rnacentral:rRNA from 1 species
GGCCAUACAAUCCUGAAUGUGCCCAAUCUCAUCUUAUCUCGAAAGCUAAGCAGGGUUGGGCCUUGCUAGUACUUGGAUGGGAGAAAAUCACUCUACCAAAAAGAAAAAUAAAGAGGAAAAAGCCC